rnacentral:lncRNA from 1 species
UAUCCAGAUCGCCCUCAGCUGUUGCAGCACCUCCCCAGCCAACAUGAAGUUGAUUUCCUUGUUGAUGGCCAUAGUCGGGGCCCUGUCCUGCUUCAUGGGAUCUGCUCUUGCCAUGCCCGAACCCUAUGCCCUCCCUGACGCUGACGCCGUGGCAGAGGCCGAACCCUGGCGCUAUAGGCCCCAUGGGCACAUCUAUACCCACUACCAUAGGCCCUACGGACUCCACAGUCAUAUCCAUUGGCGCUAAGCAGUCUCAGAGUACAAUGUAGAAGACCCAUUACCGCCAAUUAGGAUCUCUCUUUCUCUUGCAGACUAAAUUUUCUACUUUCGUUUAUAAUGAUAUCUUCAAGAUACUAGCUAAGCACUUAAAAUGCACCUUGAGAAAAAAAUGGAAUUGCUACUUAUUUCCAAAUUAAAAGUUGUGCAAGAACA